rnacentral:rRNA from 1 species
UGAGCAAUCUGCCCUUCACAUCGGAAUAACCAUUGGAAACGAUGGCUAAUACCGAAUAUGACUUCGGAUCGCAUGAUCUGAAGUGGAAAGCUCCGGCGGUGAAGGAUGAGCUCGCGGCCUAUCAGCUUGUUGGUGGGGUAAUGGCUCACCAAGGCUACGAUCUUUAGCUGGUCUGAGAGGAUGAUCAGCCACACUGGGA